rnacentral:rRNA from 1 species
UUACGGCCACAACACGUUGAAACACUAGUUCCCGUACGAUCACCGAAGUUAAGCAACGUCGAGCCUGAUCAGUACCAAGAUGGGUGACUGCUUGGGAAUACUAGGUGCUGUAA